GUGCUCGCUUUGGAAGCACAUAUACUGAAAUUGGAAUGGUACAAAGAAGAUUAGCAUGGCCCCUGCGCAAGGAUGACAUGAAAAUAUUAAAAAAUAAAUAAAAUAAAU
rnacentral:snRNA from 1 species